rnacentral:rRNA from 1 species
GAGUUUGAUCCUGGCUCAGGAUGAACGCUGGCGGCGUGCUUAACACAUGCAAGUCGAACGAUGAAGAGAGCUUGCUCUUGGAUUAGUGGCGAACGGGUGAGUAACACGUGAGUAACCUGCCCUUAACUCUGGGAUAAGCCUGGGAAACUGGGUCUAAUACCGGAUAUGACCUGUUGCCGCAUGGUGGCGGGUGGAAAGAUUUUUUGGUUUUGGAUGGACUCGCGGCCUAUCAGCUUGUUGGUGAGGUAAUGGCUCACCAAGGCGACGACGGGUAGCCGGCCUGAGAGGGUGACCGGCCACACUGGGACUGAGACACGGCCCAGACUCCUACGGGAGGCAGCAGUGGGGAAUCUUGCGCAAUGGGCGAAAGCCUGACGCAGCAACGCCGCGUGCGGGAAGAAGGCCUUCGGGUUGUAAACCGCUUUCAGCGGGGAAGAAGGCGAGCGGGUUAAUAGCCCGUCAGCUGACGGUACCCGCAGAAGAAGGUCCGGCUAACUACGUGCCAGCAGCCGCGGUA